AAAGACCUUUCUUGCGACUGGCUCCUUCUUGGACCUCUGUACUAAAAGGAGGGCCGAAGCAGUGCCUGAAAUGCCUUACCUCGGAGAAGAAGAAAAAAGAAAAGAAAGCGAAAUGAAACUAAAGACGGUAGCAAAGGGUAUGCGUGAGCAAUUCGUAUAUCAAAUUUGUAUAUUUAAACAGUUUGAAAGGAAAAAGCCAAAAUGAUAGUAUUGAAUAUCAGAUACUAGAAGGAAUUGAUAAACGUCUAGAAAAACAUCUGAAAGAAGCCAGCAAUUAAAAGAAGACCACAUUUCUCAAAAUUUAAUUGCUUACAGAGAAGCCCUAUUUUCUAGUGCCUUGGUUUGUUACUCAUUUAUGACUAUGAUUGCAAUGAAACACCUUUGUAGGUAUGAUUUACAGAAAAACAAGAAAAUAAAAUUACAUCUAUAAUUGA